CCAACAGACCCCUUAUUCACUUACCCUCCCUGUUCCAAGGAGAUCCACCGCACCAGCGGCUCCUCCAUUGCUCUAACUGGCGGAACAACCCCUCUCUUCUUCUCCACUGGGGAGAUCCUUGUCCUCUCCCACUUCUCGAGAAAGUCGAUCAAACAACCGCCACUCGUCUUCUCUUUAAGACUCUGUCAGGCGUCACUACAGUUGUGACAACCAAGAGACCAGCGUCGCUGUUUCUAUUGGCGUGCUCACGACCGUGCCACCGUGAGCCUCCUCCAGCGAGCUUCGUCGAAGCAAGCGAGUCUAGGGAUUUUGGGAGGCGUUCAGACCUACGUCUAUUAAAAAUGGAUUUUUAAAGAUUCGUCUGUUGUUGGAUGUGUUUGGUAGACUUUAUCUAAGUUGACGACCUAUCAGAAUUGUCUCUCAUCUCUAUGAGAUGCAGAUCUAACUGGAAUCAAGAUUGAAGUUCAUGAAAAGCUUAAAGAGAAGUGUUGCGAAAUGAAGUAGUCAAAAUGAUAGAUUCCGUUUGUAAAGGGGGAGGUGUAUUAAGGAAAUUUCAUCAACAAAUCUAAAGUUGGGAAUAAACAAAUAAACAACUCAGUUUUUUUUGCUCAAAACAAGUGAAGCUCACGAGAUAGGAGAAAGACGUAACAAUUAGAUUACAUUGUAUCUUUCAAGAUAAGCAUAUAUUUGUUAUAGGACAUUAUUUUGUUUUAAAUUGUCUACAUUUGUGACAAACCAUUUGUCUUCUCAUUACUUUCUGACCAGUAAUAUAAUUUAUUUUUAAUUACGUAUUAAA